GGUUGGCCUGCUAAGAGUUACUGCUGAGCCCACCAUUACCCCAGGUUGGCCUGCUAAGAGUUACUGCUGAGCCCACCAUUACCCCAGGUUGGCCUGCUAAGAGUUACUGCUGAGCCCACCAUUACCCCAGGUUGGCCUGCUAAGAGUUACUGCUGAGCCCACCACUACCCCAGGUUGGCCUGCUAAGAGUUACUGCUGAGCCCACCACUACCCCAGGUUGGCCUGCUAAGAGUUACUGCUGAGCCCACCACUACCCCAGGUUGGCCUGCUAAGAGUUACUGCUGAGCCCACCACUACCCCAGGUUGGCCUGCUAAGAGUUACUGCUGAGCCCACCACUACCCCAGGUUGGCCUGCUAAGAGUUACUGCUGAGCCCACCAUUACCCCAGGUUGGCCUGCUAAGAGUUACUGCUGAGCCCACCAUUACCCCAGGUUGGCCUGCUAAGAGUUACUGCUGAGCCCACCAUUACCCCAGGUUGGCCUGCUAAGAGUUACUGCUGAGCCCACCAUUACCCCAGGUUGGCCUGCUAAGAGUUACUGCUGAGCCCACCAUUACCCCAGGUUGGCCUGCUAAGAGUUACUGCUGAGCCCACCAUUACCCCAGGUUGGCCUGCUAAGAGUUACUGCUAAGCCCGCCAUUACCCCAGGUUGGCCUGCUAAGAGUUACUGCUGAGAGGGAUGGAGAGGAAGGCUAGACACCUGGGGUCUCCUCAGGGAUCAACAUCAGUAAUCAUAACGAUGCAUUUAGACAGAGGAAUCACCAUUCGGCCUGAUAAAGAUCUCCUACAGCUGCGCUAACUGGCACAACGGAUAACCUCCAUCUAUUUUGUCUGUGAUUUGCAUAAUGUAGUUGUACAGCAGAGUGGUCAAGAACACUUUCUGAUGCAAGCCAAGAUCUACCGCUUGGAUUUCUUCUUUUUUUUUUUUGUAUUUAUUUUAUUAAACGUGACUUAAAACCGUAAGCCUAUUGCAACAUUAAGCUAUUAAACACAGUUCUGUAGCAGUGAGGUUUGUGCAGUAGGCUAUAAGACCAGUACAUUGUCACUGCAUAUCGGCUACGCUUGAAUUGCCCUGCCAAUGCAGUUCUUCUCAGAUCAUUUUGAAAUUAUGUAAAUGUUUUGGGAUAUGAUCACGCUGGGAAUAGAUCAUUUGUUGAUGG